rnacentral:rRNA from 1 species
AUACGGAGGAUGCAAGCGUUAUCCGGAUUUAUUGGGUUUAAAGGGUGCGUAGGCGGGACUGUAAGUCAGGGGUGAAAUACUGCAGCUUAACUGUAGCAUUGCCUUUGAAACUGCCGUUCUUGAGUACAGUUGAGGUAGGCGGAAUGUGGUGUGUGGCGGGGAAAUGCAUAGAUAUACCACAGAACGCCGAUUGCGAAGGCAGCUUACUAAGCUGUUACUGACGCUGAGGCACGAAAGCGUGGGGAUCAAACAGGAUUAGAUACCCUGGUAGUCCACGCUGUAAACGAUGAUUACUGGUUGUUAGCGAUAUAUAGCUAGUGACUGAGCGAAAGCAUUAAGUAAUCCACCUGGGGAGUACGUCGGCAACGAUGAAACUCAAAUGAAUUGGCGGGG